GUUAAGCCGAUGAAGGAAAGAAGACACUUAACUUGUCUACAGAGAGCCGGUGGUUGGUGUAAACCGGUGACAAUAAAGCCUGUCUUUAGCGUUCCUGAGAUAUUGCAUUGAAAAUUCGAAGUAGGUGCAAUCGGAUAGUAUCCGUUAUCAAUUAUGGUCUUUAUUGACCUCAGAGGCUGCUGAAGGAAUUUAGCAGUGAAUUAGGGUGGUACCACGAUAACUCUCGUCCCUUAC
rnacentral:ncRNA from 1 species